UGAACGCUGGCGGCGUGCCUAAUACAUGCAAGUCGAGCGAACAGACGAGGAGCUUGCCCCUCUGACGUUAGCGGCGGACGGGUGAGUAACACGUGGAUAACCUACCUAUAAGACUGGGAUAACUUCGGGAAACCGGAGCUAAUACCGGAUAAUAUAUUGAACCGCAUGGUUCAAUAGUGAAAGACGGUUUUGCUGUCACUUAUAGAUGGAUCCGCGCCGCAUUAGCUAGUUGGUAAGGUAACGGCUUACCAAGGCAACGAUGCGUAGCCGACCUGAGAGGGUGAUCGGCCACACUGGAACUGAGACACGGUCCAGACUCCUACGGGAGGCAGCAGUAGGGAAUCUUCCGCAAUGGGCGAAAGCUUGACGGAGCAACGCCGCGUGAGUGAUGAAGGUCUUCGGAUCGUAAAACUCUGUUAUUAGGGAAGAACAAAUGUGUAAGUAACUAUGCACGUCUUGACGGUACCUAAUCAGAAAGCCACGGCUAACUACGUG
rnacentral:rRNA from 1 species